AGAGUUUGAUCCUGGCUCAGAUUGAACGCUGGCGGCAUUGCUUUACACAUGCAAGUCGAACGGCAGCAUGGGUGCUUGCACCUGAUGGCGAGUGGCGAACGGGUGAGUAAUAUAUUGGAACGUACCGAGUAGUGGGGGAUAACUAAUCGAAAGAUUAGCUAAUACCGCAUACGCUUUGAGAAGGAAAGUAGGGGAUCGCAAGACCUUACGCUAUUUGAGCGGCCAAUAUCGGAUUAGCUGGUUGGUGGGGUAAGGGCCUACCAAGGCGACGAUCCGUAGCGGGUCUGAGAGGACGAUCCGCCACAUUGGGACUGAGACACGGCCCAAACUCCUACGGGAGGCAGCAGUGGGGAAUUUUGGACAAUGGGGGCAACCCUGAUCCAGCCAUGCCGCGUGUCUGAAGAAGGCCUUCGGGUUGUAAAGGACUUUUGUUAGGGAAGAAAAGGGAUUGGUUAAUACCCAGUUCUGCUGACGGUACCUAAAGAAUAAGCACCGGCUAACUACGUG
rnacentral:rRNA from 1 species